UACAGAGGUCCCAAGCGUUGUUCGGAAUUACUGGGCGUAAAGGGCGCGUAGGCGGCCUUCUAAGUCGAACGUGAAAUCCCCGGGCUCAACCCGGGAACUGCGUCCGAUACUGGAAGGCUUGAAUCCGGGAGAGGGAUGUGGAAUUCCAGGUGUAGCGGUGAAAUGCGUAGAUAUCUGGAGGAACACCGGUGGCGAAGGCGACAUCCUGGACCGGUAUUGACGCUGAGGCGCGAAAGCCAGGGGAGCAAACGGG
rnacentral:rRNA from 1 species